rnacentral:rRNA from 1 species
UACAGAGGAUGCAAGCGUUAUCCGGAAUGAUUGGGCGUAAAGCGUCUGUAGGUGGCUUUUUAAGUCCGCCGUCAAAUCCCAGGGCUCAACCCUUGAAUGCCGGUGGAUACUGCAGGGCUAGAGUCCGGAAGAGGCGAGUGGAAUUCCCGGUGUAGCGGUGAAAUGCGCAGAUAUCAGGAGGAACACCAGUGGCGAAGGCGGUGCUCUGGGCCGGAACUGACGCUGAGGAGCGAAAGCGUGGGGAGCAAACAGG